CCUACGGGUGGCAGCAGUGGGGGAUAUUGCACAAUGGGGGGAACCCUGAUGCAGCGACGCCGCGUGGGUGAAGAAGCGCCUCGGCGUGUAAAGCACUGUCAGCAGGGAAGAAAAUGACGGUACCUGACGAAGAAGCCCCGGCUAACUACGUGCCAGCAGCCGCGGUAAUACGUAGGGGGCAAGCGUUAUCCGGAUUUACUGGGUGUAAGGGGGGCGCAGACGGCGAUGCAAGCCAGGAGUGAAAGCCCGGGGCUCAACCCCGGGACUGCUCUGGAAACUGCGUGGCUGGAGGGCAGGAGGGGCAGGCGGAAUUCCUGGUGUAGCGGUGAAAUGCGUAGAUAUCAGGAGGAACACCGGUGGCGAAGGCGGCCUGCUGGACUGCAACUGACGUUGAGGCCCGAAAGCGUGGGGAGCAAACAGGAUUAGAUACCCUUGUAGUC
rnacentral:rRNA from 1 species